AAAAUUUUAAUUGUUUUGCCCCUCAAGCCUUAUGGUUCUUUGAGUCUCAACUGGUAUCUCCUGUCUUUAUCUAUUUACCUUUUGUGUGGAGUGUAAGUUUAUUUGUGAUGGCUGUUGAUUUUUCUUUUUCAGUUGAUUGAUAUCACAGGCAAGAACCAGGAUGAAUGUGUGAUUGCUUUGCAUGACUGCAAUGGAGAUGUUAACAGAGCCAUCAAUGUUCUGCUGGAAGGAAACCCAGACACGGUAGAGUGCUAAAUAGUGUUUUAGAAUGUGGGUCCUGGGUUGGGAAGCUAGUAAUAUUCUAAAUAUAACAAGUGGGAUAGUCGACUUCAACCAGUAUACCUUAUUCUCCAAGUUGAGGAGGGAGCUUUCUUGGAGAUUAUUAUCUUGCAGGUUGCAAAUACUUAAAAUUUUUCUUCAAGAGGAUAAUAGUCAUAGGAAAAACAGGUAAAAUUAGUAUCUUCUAAUUGGGUUUGGAAUAAAUUAUUCAUUCCAGACUAGUGACUAUUUUUGAGGCUUGGGUUAGUCUGAAUGAAUUAGAAGUGCUACUUGAUAGCCUUGGUUAUUAAUCAUGGAAGAUUUCUGCUCACUUUUUUUUUUUUUUUUUUGAAGUACUGGGGAUUGAACCCAAGGGUGAUUUACCACUGAGCUACAUUCCCAUCCCUUUUUAAGACAGUCUUGCUAAGUUGCUGAGGCUGGUCUUGAACUUGCAAUCCUUUAACCUCAGUCUCCUAUGUUGCUAGGAUUACAGGUGCGCUAUUACUCCCAGCCUCUGCUCACCCUUUUUUGUUGUUGUUGCUGUUGAUCAAAAUCACAAACUAUACAAUUCAGAACAUUUCCAUUAAUAUCACCUUUAUAUUGCACAAUACUGUUGAAUUGCCUGAACUUGGUUGUAUUGAGAUAGCAAAGAAACAAGCUUUAAUAAGUAUUUUUUUUUUUUUUUUUUGGGUGUAGAUUGUAGAUGGACAAAAUAACUUUUAUUUAUUUAUUUAUUUCCAUGUGGUGGUGAGGAUCGAACCCAGCACCUCACAUGUGCUAGGCAAGCGCUCUACCACUGUGCUACAACCCCAGCCCUUAAUGAAUAUUUUGUGAUUUUCUUACACCUUAUAACUUUUGUGGGUUAUUCCCACAGUGCUUACUAGAGAACUUCCUUAAGUGAGCACUGGAGCAUUUUGAAAUAAUUUUCAUUUAUUUAUCUUACACUGGGGGAAUCUUUGGUUGGAAUAGAGUUCAUCCUUAGAGUUAUGAAUUUCCUAAGGUUACAGUGUCACAUCAACAGAAUACUAAAUUGUCUAUUUCCUUGAGACACUGGGAAAUAAUAGUGAAAAACUUUAUAAAAUAAUCGAAUUUAAGUUUGUGGGAUUUUUGGUGUCCCCUUCCAAAAAAAAAAAAAAAUUACUCCUGGAUUACAUUCUGUGUAAUUGUUCUCAUUAGAAAAUUCACUGCUUGGACAAUCAAGUCACAAUGCCUUUGGUCCACUUGUUUACACCAAAAUAAUCGCCUCAAGGUAUUCUUUUGGUGGGAGAGGUUGGAUAUCUCAUGCUUUUUUAAAAGUCCACAAGUCACAUUUUUCUCACCUCCAGCAUCUUCUGUCUAGUGCUACAAGUUUGACCUUCCAGGGGCUGGGGUUUUGGCUCAGUGGUAGAGCGCUCGCCUAGUAUGUGAGAGGAACUGGACUCCAUUCUCAGCAUCGCAUAUAAAUAAAUGAAUAAAAUAAAGUUUGACCUUCCAGAGCAUCAAAAAGGAAAAAAAGGUAGAGAAUAUAGGCUUAUGCCACAAAUAAACCAGCUACUAGAAAAUCAAUGGGAAGCAAAGUCAUCUGCUGGGGGUGUUGGAUGAAUUUGAGUGGGUGAGAUCAUAUCAGAAAACUGGCAGAAGAUAAUCGUAAUUAUUUUUCUUUAUAGAACCCAUCUGGUGCCUGCAGCUAAUGUAUACACAGGGGAGGGAGACAGGUGACAGGUUCCUGAAAUUUGCCAGGUUUUGAGACAGAUUAGCAUAAAUUCUAGAAGCUGUUUUUAGUCUAGUUUCCAGAGUUCCUGGUGCAGAUUUAGCUAUUGGGCUAUUACAAUUUACGAAUUAAAGCUACUAUAGUAUCAAAUGACACUUCCAACUAAAAUGUGAAAUAAGACUGGGUUGGAAGAGUAUAUAUAGCAGGGAACUGCUUAGGACUAGGUAGGUACCUCAUCUUUUAAAAAACUUUUUUUAGUAAACUAUUAUAGAUUCUUUAAAAUAUGUUAAUAUGCUUUAAUUUUAAUUUGGGGGGCAAGGGGUGGAGAUUGAAUGCAGGACCUCACAUUUGCUAAGCAUGUGCUCUCUCACUGAGCUAUAUCCAAGCCCUGAAUUCACUUUUUUUUUCUUAAAAAAUUAAAGUCUUUGGUAAAAUAAACAUAAAAUUUACCAUUUUAACUAUUCUUUUUUUUUUUUUUUUUUGGUACCGGGGAUUAAACUCAGGGGCACUUGACCAUUGAGCCACAUCUCCAUCCCUAUUUUGUAUUCUUUUUAGAGACAGGGUCUCACUGAGUUGCUUAGCGCCUUGCUUUUGCUGAGGCUGGUUUUGAACUUGUGAUCCUCCUGCCUCAGCCUCACAAGCCGCUGGGAUUACAGGAGCGUGCCACUGCGCCCAGCAUUUUAACUAUUCUUUUUUUAACUUUUUUUUAGUUGUAGUUGGUACAGUGUCUUUAUUUAUUUAUUUUUAUGUGGUGCUGAGGAUUGAACCCAGUACCUUACAUGUGCAAGGCAAGUGCUCUACCACUGAGCUACAGCCCCAGCCCUUUAACUCUUGAAUGUUUAAUUCAGUGACAUUAAGUACAUUCACAAAGGGUGCAGCCAUUACUGAUUUUUCCAGAACUUGUUCAUUGUCCUAACCGGGAAUUCUAUAUGUAUUUCAUAACUCUCCAUUCCUCCCUUCCCCAUUUCCUAGUAACCUCUACUAUUUUCUGUUUUCUAUGAAUUUGCCUCUUUUAGGUAAAGGAGAAGCAUACCGUGUUUAUCCUUUGGUUUCAAGCUCAUUCAUUUUCCAUAUUUUCAAGUUUCAUUUAUGUUGUAGGAUUUCAUUCCUUUUUAAGAAUGAAUAGUAUUCUGUUCACCUUUGGAGGCUGAGGCAGGAGGAUUUCAAGUUCAAAGCCAGCCUCAGCAACUUAGUGAGACCCUAAGCAACUCAGCGAGACCCUGUCUAAAUAAAAUAUUAAAAUUGGCUGGGGAGCCCGGGUACGAUGGCACACAUCUGUAAUCCCAGCAGCUCAGGAGGCUGAGAUAGGAGGAUUGCAAGUUCAAAGCCGGCCUCAACAAUGGCAGGGCACUAAUAAGUAACUCAGUGAGGCCCUGUCUCUAAUAAAAUACAAAAAUAGAGCUGGGGAUGUGGCUCAGUGUUUGAGUGCCCUUGGGUUCAAUCCUGGACCAAAAACCAAACAAACAAAAAACGGGCUAGGAUGUGGCUCAGUGGUUAAGCGUCCCCUGGGUUCAAUCAAUCCCUGCUACCAAAAAAGAAAAGAAAAAUGUUAAUGAUAACUCUGUUGUAUGUGUAUACCAUGUUUUAUUUUAUUUAUCUGUGCGUCUAUUGGUGGACACUUAAUUCUGUGGAAGUUGUAGACAUUAUAAUACUUCAUUUCCUAAAUUUUUCAAUAUAUGACUAUAAUUACUAUUUUCAAGUUGGGUGUGGUGGCAUAUAUUUGUAAUUCCCAGUAACUGUGGAGGCUGAGGAAGGAGGAUCCCUAGUUCAAGGCCUACCUCCACAACUUAGUGAGACCCCCAUCUCAAGAAAUAAAAAGGGCUGGGGAUGUAGCACAGUGGUAAAGUGCCCCCCUGAAUUCAAUCCCGAGUUUCAGAUAAAAAAUACUAUUGUAAUCCUGAGAAAAGUAACAACAGUUUUAUAUUGCCUAGUACCUGUUUUUUAAUUUUUUUUUUUUUUUAGUUUUAGAUGAACACAUACCUUUAAUUUUUAUGUGGUGCUGAGUAUCAAACCUAGUGCCUCACACGUACAAGAAAAGUACUUUACUACUGAGCCACAACCCCAGCCCCUGUUUUUUUUUUUUUUUUCCCCAUUACUAGGGAUUGAUUCAGGACCUUUCCCAUGCUAGUCAAGCACUCUACCACUGAACUAGAUCCCCAGCGUUGUGUUUUCUUUUUUUUUUUUUUUUUUUUUUCAGACAGGGUCUUGAUAUGUUGCUCAGCCUGGCCUUAAACUUUGAACCCUCCUGCUUCAGCCUCCCCAGUAGCUGGGAUUACAGGCAUGUACCAUUGCACACUGCUUGCUGGUUCAUAUUCUUCAAAGUUACCAGAUAUUAGAUAGCUGUUAAUGAGUGAGCACCAGUGCCAUAGUUCUUUCAGUUACAGUAACUAAGAUAGUAAAGGUAUAAUAGUCUUUUUUUGUUCUGGAACAUUUGUAACAGGUGUUUUGUGAAGAGAUAUGUAAAUUAAAGUGUGCUUUUUUUUUUUUUUUUGUACUAAGGAUUAAACCCAAGGACACUGCACCAAGUAAGCAACCUCACUAGCUCUUUUUAUUUUGAGACAAGGUCUUACUCAAUUCCCAAGGCUGGCCUCAAACUUUCCAUCCUUUUGCCUCAGCUUCCUGAGUCCCUGGGAUUACUAUGUGCCAUGAUUCUUGGCAGUAUGCUUUUUUUUUGUUUUGUUUUUUGUACUGGGAUUGAAUUUAGGGACACUCAACCACCAAGCCACAUCCCCAGCCCCAUAUUGUUAUAGAAAUAAACCUUUACUUUGUUUCUUUAUUUUUUAUAUGGUGCUGAAGAUCAAACCUAGUACCUCACACGUGCUAAGCAAGUGCUCUACCACUGAGCCACAACCCCAGCCCCUGUAUUUUGUUUUGUUUUUAAAUUACUAGGGAUUGAUUGAGGACCUUUCCCAGGCUAGUCAAACCUUGAUUUUUUUUUUUUUUAUUUUUUAGUUGUUGAGGGACCUUCAUUUUAUUUAUUAGUAUGUGUUGCUGAGAAUUGAACCCCGUGUGUCACGCGUGCCAGGCAAGCAUGCUACCACUGAGCCAUAACCCCAGCCCCCUGUAUUGUAUUUUAUUUAGCCAUACGGUCUCACUGAGUUGCUCAGUGCCUUGCCAUUACUGAGGCUGGGUUUGAACUCACAACCCUCCUGCCUCAGUCCCCUGAGCAGUUGGGAUUAUAGGCGUAUGCCACCAUACCCAGCAAUAUGCAUGUUUUUAAAACUUUAAAUUUUCAAGAUUUAUUUUUCUAAGGAGUAAGUGUUUUGCAAUUGUAUUUAGGAUAUUUUCCUUACUAUGGAUUUUACCUCCUAUAAUUUAGAGAACCUGGGGUACUCUACUACUAAACUACAUCCCCAGCCUUUUUUAUUUUGAUCCAUGGUCUUGCUAACUUACUGAAACUGGCCUUGAACUUGAACUGUGUGUAGUAGGAUAUACCAUGUAGGUUUGUAUAAGUUGCACUAUGAUGUUCAUGUAACAAUGAAAUAGCCUUGUGAUGCGUUUCUAAGACUAUAAUCCUGUCAUUAAACUAUAUUCUUUUUAAAUUGGAGUAUAUCAAUUUAAGAAGUGUGGAGAGAAUAUAGUGGAUAAAACCUGGAUGGAAGGCCUCCUAUUAUCACUGUGUCUCAGGGCCAGAGCUGCUGUUAGUGUCUUUUAAAUAUGUGUGCAUGUGUGUAUAAUUAUUGCUUUUGUCCUAAAUUUUUCCCAAGAGCCAAAUGCUGUUCGUGCAUCCUAAAUUUACAGAUAACUUGUAAAAACUUCCAGUUAGUUUUCCUUUUUGCUUUAUUUUAUAUGAAUAAGAAUGUAAAAAGUUGGUUUUGUGUGUGUGGGUCACUGAAUCCAGAGGGGCUAGUUAUUUUAGUCUAGGAAAUGCACUUGAUAGGCACAAAUAACUAGGUUCUUUGAUAGGCUAAGUGACUGAGCUGGAUAGAGAUCUUUUGAAAGUGAUACCUGUAAUCCAUUACCUAUAGGUACCUCCUCUUCAAAAAUAACUUUAAUUUUGGCAGAGAUAGGUAUACAGUUGGUUUUUAGGUUGUGUCUGUGCCUUCCAUUUAAACAGUGAAAUAAACUAAUGGAAAUGUUUUAAACAUGGAUGCAGAAAGAAUAGUCAGUUGUCCAGUCUAAUAUCCUGAUAGCUUGCAGUCCAUAUUAAGAUUAGACAUGAAAGUUCUCCUCUUCUUUAGCAUUCCUGGGAGAUGGUCGGGAAGAAGAAAGGUGUCUCAGGACAGAAGGAUGGUGGCCAGACGGAAUCCAACGAGGAAGGCAAAGAAAAUCGAGACCGGGACAGAGACUAUAGUCGGCGACGUGGUGGGCCACCAAGACGGGGAAGAGGUGCCAGCCGUGGACGAGAGUGUAUGCAUGGGGCUUUAUCAAAACCAGCUGUGGGUCAGUAAUGUCCAGAUUCCAGGGAUGUGUCAGGGCCCUGCUAGACAGGACCCAGGAACCAUGAUAUCACCUUUGUGUUUUUCUUGGCAUCAUGUAUUCUGAGAUUCUGGUAUCUCUUGCAUGUAGUCUUUUCUAGCAGCUGCCACUAGUCUGGCAUAAAAUUAUCCUUUAUUUAUUUAUAAAUUUUGAUUAUAGCUCUCUUUUGUGGCCCAUCUUCAAAUCUUUGAGUAUUCCUUAUGUCCCAUCAUUCCAAGCUCACAUUGUCUUUUUUUUUGUCUUUGUGACACUUUAUUACAUAGCAUUUACACAUUUGUAUAUAUCCUAUUGAUCCUUCUCUGGCCAUUCUCCCUUCCCACCUUCCGUAUUUCAGUUCGGGGUCAGGAAAAUGGAUUGGAUGGCACUAAGAGUGGAGGGCCUUCUGGAAGAGGCACAGAAAGAGGCAGAAGAGGCCGUGGCCGAGGCAGAGGUAAUCAAUUGUGGAGGGAUGGGUAUUGGGGGCAGGUUACUCUUCAGUUCCCUAGGGGUCUUCCUUAUUUAAAAGUAAAUUAAUAUGGAGACUGGUUACCUUAAUUGUUGAGGUCUCAUGCAUAUACUUGAGAUUGCUGAAAUGGAAAAUGGAAAAGAAGGUAGAUGUCAAAUUGAGUUUUUAUUGUUGAUGUUAUUGUUUGCUUGAAGACCCAGCAGUUUGAGCCGCAAGAACUAUCUGUCAACACUAAUGAUUGUCUUACUCUAUUAACUGAUGUGAUACAUGGGAUUGAGAGAAAGAAAAUCUGAUACUAUGAGCCACUUACUGUUCCGCAGCUGCCUCAGCUGGAAAGGUGGUUUUAUAUCAACUUCUAAAUAUUUCUCUGUCCCUCUGUUUCUCUCUCUCUCUCUCUCUCUCUCUCUCUUUUUUUUCUUUAGGAGGCUCUGGUAGGCGGGGAGGAAGGUUUUCUGCUCAAGGAAUGGGGUACGUUUCUUUGAUCCAAUGUAUUUAACUUUUCCCCCCUAAGAAUAUCCAAAAUGUGAUUAGAAUGAUUUCUAGAUUAUUUAAUCAGAAAGAUGUGUAGAUUUAGGGCUCAUUCCUCAGGAAUACUACCUAGGUCAUUAAUCUCUUACCAUAUUGUAUACAUUGAUAUUUGGGUAGGGUGAUAAACAAAGAAAAAGUAGACAGCAUAUAGGAUUAUAAAAUGGGAUAUGAUUGAUCUGUACUAAGAAGAUAGUAUUCCGAUUAUCCUUUGGGUUAAUAUUUGCUGAAGCUGCUUAGAGGUUAGAGACUCUUUUAAGCUUUUAUUUUUUUUCAGAACCUUUAACCCAGCUGAUUAUGCAGAGCCAGCCAAUACUGAUGAUAGUUACGGUAAUAGUAGCGGCAAUACGUGGAACAACACUGGCCACUUUGAACCAGAUGAUGGGACGAGUGAGUAACCAUUUACUGUUAUUUAUUUCUUGUCUCUGGACUUAAGGAAUUUUUUUUGUGUGUGUGUCUAUGUGUAUGUGCAUUUUUGGGGAUUGAAUUCAUAGCUGCCUCCUUGCUAGGCAAACACUGUACCAUUGAGCUAUAUCCCCAGUUCAGGAAAUAAUUUUUUCGAGGUUACAGUUAAAUUUAAAAAGUAAAAGAAUAGUGUUUAGAUUUAGAGAUCUGGGACAAAAGCAGUAGCAAUUAAAUUAUUGUGUACUGAUUACUUACCUCGUGCUUAUGAGCCUAAUAUAUGUGCUAUUUCACUCGGUCUCUUCACUGUUUAUGAAAUAGACAUUAUUUAUCAUCACUUUCCUGAUGAUAAAACUAAGACUGAAAGAGGUUACGAAUUUGCUGGUAGUUGAACUUAGAAUUUUAUGAUUCUAAAAGUCUAUCCUCUUACCGUAAUAUCAUGUGGCUGCUGUUAGUUCCAAGCGUUUCCUAGAGUUUAUUUUGGGGUAGCAUUGGUUUUUGAAAAGUUAUCUAAAAUCAGACAAUCACUUAAUUAAGUCUUUACUUGUAGAGAUGAAUAAUCAAAGUCCACAACUGUUUGUUGAUUUGUUUUCUGGUACCAAGAUAAGAAUAUCCUUUUUUUUUUUUUUGCCUUCAUUUUUGAGAAAUCUCAAUAACUGAGCAAGAAUGAAUUCUCUGACCUCCCUCUGUCUGUCUAAUAGCCUUCUUGCUCUGGUGAAUAUUAUGAGAUUUGGGUAAGAGCUUUUUUGCUAGCUGACUCUGUGUCUGCAUCCAGAUAGGAUGUAAAUGCUUAAGGGUAUGUUAGACUUGUGGGAUAAACCCAGAUGUGUUUUGGAGUAAAAGGUACACGUGUUGCUUUUAAAAAUAGUAGCCUCUAGGCUUCCUGUGAGAUCAUCUACCUUCUGGCAGAGCCAGCACAUGAGAGCCUGAGGCUUUUCCUCUUGUGAAAGGAUCUAGCUUAAUAGUAGGGCCUGAAAUAGGCUCUCUGACGCCUUAUCCAUUUAAAUUUGCCUAGUUUCCUUUCAAAGAUCAAUUAUCUUUAUCUCCGGAUCUUUAGGAGGGUCUUUGGAAAAAACAACUUGUAUUCUGUUGCAUACAAGAUGUUAUACCUUAGGUUUGAAAGUUACCACUUUUUGUUUGCCAAACUGCUACUUCAUGAGCUCAUUUUUAAUAUUUCUCAUGGGGGGGAGGGUGAAGUGGAGGUAUUGGCAAAAGAUAGGUAUCUUGUUAAGUUUCACUAUCAUUCGGCUAUAAAAUGUUCCAAUCUCUUUUACCUUCCUAUACUUAAGAGACAUUAGAAGUGUUCUUCAUUCAUUUCCUGAUGAAUUUGUAGAGGUAGUAUAGUAGCAGUCUCAAUGUCAAAAGUUACUAUUUUCAAACUGUUUGUUCUGGGCUCUUUGGCUUUUCAAUCUUUGCCAGAAAAGAUGAUAAAAAUUUAAGCUAUCUGUUUUUAGUUGGGAAUAUAUAUUCAUUCGUGGCAUUUCAGUUCUUAGCAUUAGGAUCUGGUUGGAAAUACAGGGUAUGAUGAUGUGAAUUUUUAUGUCUGGUGAGUAGAAAAGUAGAUUUUAGAAGUCUGGAAUCAGAAAUCAGUGAUGUGUGACUGAAAAAGAUCAUCUUGUUAGUGUUAAAGUGUUGUAUACUUCAUGCAUUUCCAUCAUUUUGAUUUCAUGAUGUGACAUGCCUUCAUGCAUGACAUUUUUUUGUGUUUUCAUAAUAGUGAACUUCAAAUUGCCUUUUUAAUUUAAAAAUAAAUUCAAACCUACCCUUAAAAUAUCCACAGGUACAGUGGGAAUUAUGUAUUGGGGGCAGAUAUUCUCAUUCACAUGCAAAAUUUCACUGGUUGUUUUUUUCUUUUCUUUUCUUUUUUGUUUCAGGACUUGAUUUCAUUGGGGUUGAGGGGUCAAAUUAUCCCCGAAAAUUUGAGACUGCUCCUGGUAUGAUACAUCCAGGCGCCUAACUGCCCCGGAUAUUUUUAUAGAUUUUUGUGAACUGAAAUAUCUGUGGAUAUGUCAUUUUUCUGUCUUUCUGCUGCUUCUUUCUGCAUUUUUCUCAUAUUCUAUGCCCACUUGUUCUUAUAACUUUGUUCGUUAAAUCAAUAUUUGAUAUUUAACAUACAACUGUGCUUUAUGCUGUGGGAAUGGAAACCCUGAUCUGUUGGCCAGAGCGUUUCCAUCUUAAUAUUCCUUAAUGCUUCCUCAACAUAGUUCUCGUUGUAGCUCUGACUGUACUUCCUGUAUAGGAAAGUAUCAAGUAGGGAUCUACACUCUUCGUUUCUACCUAGUUGAAUUCAACAGAGUGUACAGAGAAUAUUCUUGCAUAAAGGGCAUAGAUCAGAUAACCCCUUAUGUCCCUUCUAAGGCUAAGAUAUUAAGUGCAAACUCAUUUGGGUUCCAUUUAGCCAGGAUGGAAUGGGUGUCAAUGUGGAGAAAGAGUGGUAUCACCAGAGAGGAAGAGGAAUGUGGUUUGUAACUUGUCUAGAGAUUGGACUUUGGUUUUAAAGGGCAUUGUCAUUAUUGAGUGGUUUGGAAUUUCCUUGGUACACUUUUAAGACUUCCUGGGAAGACCAUUACAAUAAAUGUAUUUCCUGUAGGAAACAAGAUUUUUCAUUAUUAAAUGUUUAGAAGAAUUUCAGAUGGAUUUUGAAGGUAUUAGAAUACUUCUCUUCAGUGAAAUAGCUUAUGUGCUAGACAUUCGUUCUUGUAAGAACUUUCCUCCAUUUGGAGAAAAGACCUCAUUAUUCAUUAUGUACUGUUUUAAAGAAGAAAAUAAGGGCUUCCUUGUCCCUUCUUCAGAUAAGUUCUUACUGUGGUCUUUUGGUUGAGGGAAAGAAUAAUGGUUCUCAUAAAAAUUCUCACCCUUUAAGAAAGGGCAUUUUCUUAUUCUGAGGUUAUAUAUAUGUAUAAAGCAAGCAAAAUGGAAUGUGGAGGGUGAUUUCCCUGUAGACCUUUCCUUUAGAAACUGUAACUCAGCAUAUAACAUGAGGAGACUGUAUACCUCCAUCGUCUGUGAAAUGACCUUCACAGGUCUUAUUUCAUCUUUUGUAUGAGUAGGUUAGGAUAAUGUAGCUAUUGUUCAUAUUGGACUUUUCAAUCUCGUCUUCCAAAAAAAUAAAUAUAUAGCACUUUCCUUAUAGUUACUAGUUAAACCAAUAAGCUCAUGAAGUUGACUUCUGAGUAGGCAGUUUUUAUUCUGUCCAUUAUAUAAUAGCAGAUAGUUUUUAGUCUCCUCAGUGUGACUUUCAAACCUCCUCUUUGUCAUUGCCCUGUCACUAACCAUCAUAUGCCAACUAUUUGUAUUUCUCUAAUACUGCUGCUAUCUUUCUUCAGAUUGCCUGCAGAUUUUUUGUCUUAUACCAACCAAAUAAAUAGAUAUAGUUUGCAUGUUCUAGUUUAAAUCCUGCCAUUUUGUUGAAUUGGCUACUAAGUGAGAGUUGAUGGGCUUGAUACUACCUGAGCAUUCCAUCAGAAGUCAGCUUCUCCCCUCCCCCUCCCUGCUUCUCUUUCCUCUCCCUCCUUUCCCUCCCUCUCUCCUGUUAUAGUGUUACAGCUAUGUAACAAAAGCUGAAAGUAGCUAUAAAAUCAUAUUAUUAAAGCCCUGCUACUCUGAGGAGUCACCCUUUCUAAAGAGUCUUUCCCCAUCUCUGAAGCCUAAGAAUUGCUUCUGAUUUGUAAAUUCUGGUCAUACUUUCGACUAUAAAAAAUGUUAACUUGUUAGUAUUUUCUGUAUAUAUUGACUGACACUAAAACCUAUUAUCAUUUCCUUCUUUAUUCCCAGGUGCAUGGAGGACGGCAACAGAGGAGUGGGGAACUGAAGAUUGGAAUGAAGAUGUAGGUAUUCUCAGGUCAUUCCUCAUUCGUGCCUUCUAUCCCUAAGUGGUGUUUAGGGAUAGAAAAUGGGUAUGUUUCUACCCCUCAAAAUGCACCCUUAAGAUUCUGACCCAAAACUUUUACAUCCAAAAUAGUGUUCUGAGCCAGAACAUUUCACAUAUGUUAUAUGAAGGAGACUGGGCAUGAACAGGACUCUGGAACCACACUAUGGAAAGGGCAAGUGCACUUGUGUAAGUCCAAUAUCUGAUUGUCGGAUUUAUCCAAGGAAGAGAUGGUGGUUGGGUAGGGCACCAGAAAUAGAGUUAGGCAGGUAGUAAAUUGAGUAAUAGCUGCCAGUGGCACACGACUCUGCUUGAAGCCUUUCCAUUAUUUGGUAUGAAGUCCUGUAAUGGAUUGGCAAUGGUUACAGAGUCAGAGUUGUAGUAUCAAAUCCUCAAGCUUGCAAUCUGGUUGGUUCUGGUAGCCUUUUAAUUAUUUGAAGCCCAACUUCGUAAUUAUGAUUGAGAUGAAUAUGUGUAGACUUGGCCAAUCUGCCAGCUUGACUGAACUUGGAGACCUCAUAGUGCGUGGCAUACAAACAAGCUCUGUAAAUUCAUUAUUACCCAAGUAAAACAGUUUUGCCAAUUCCUGGUCAUAGUUAAGCUUUUGUUGUGAGUUAUGGUUUUCAAUGGUCUGGAUAAACUCUUAUUUUACCAUUUAGUAAUCUGUUUUCCUAUUUUUAUAUAUAGACAGGCAAGAUAGCUUUUGGGUUAAGUGGAAAUGACAUUUCAAAACUGUUUUAGUUGUUGUUUUAGUCCUAGGUUUUAAAAUUUCAGAUGCAUCAUUAUUAGAGGUUGAUUAUUUUCUGUUGUAACUGAGCUAGACUGCUGUGUGGACUUGGGCAAAUUCUAUUGCUUUUGAGAUUUGGCUUGUUCUGCUUAAGUACCUAUCAUAAUAGAAGACAGGAUGAAUUUCCUGUUUAUUAGAAGAGACAUUUUAAUAAGGAAAUAAACCAAAACAAUGCAAAUCAACUUUUAUAGAGCAGGAAGUGUAAUUUCCUUCAAUUACCUUUCUAAUUUUAGUACCUUAUGAAUGUAAAGACACUGUUAAGACAAAAAUUGCAUUAUAAUUAAAAUUAUCUCCAAAAGACCUUAUCUCACCAGCCCUUGGGCCUAUAUUGCUCAGAAGCAAAAAAAGUAACUUUUUUGUAUCUUUCUUGGCCAUGAUCUUCCUUUCAUUUGUAGAAGUGGGAGUGGGCAAGGGCAAUAGUAGAAGGUAAAUGUGGUUUGGGUAGAAGUGGGAGUGGGAACUCUAAUGGGAAGAUACAAAGGGACUUUUUCUCUUUAUGAUUAGCUUGCAUAUGAACCUGAGAGAUCAUGUGUGUAUGAUGAUGUGACUUCACUGUAUUUUAUUGGAUUCCUUGGUUCUCUCUUUGGAUAAAAUCAUUGACUAUAUAUUGAAGGGGUUUAAAGGUCAAUCCAUUCAAGAUUCCUCAGGGGUAGAUAGUUGUUUCUUCAUAGGGUUUUCCCUUGUUCUUGAUGUUGAAUUUGCUUCUCCUGUGCCAGAUUCUUCCAGUAGAUCCCCUGGCACCACGAGUGAUUAAUUCCUCUGUUUUCUAGCUUUCUGAGACCAAGAUCUUCACUGCCUCUAAUGUGUCUUCAGUGCCUCUGCCUGCGGAGAAUGUGACAAUCACUGCUGGUCAGAGGCAAGUGUGUGGUAAAAGUACCUUUUCCUAAAGAGAUCUGCUGAGGUAGCUGCAAGAAAGUGGCACCGCCCUUCACAAGCUCUCUGGUGUUGAGAAUAAUAAUAAUCACACUAGUUCCCUCUUCAGUUGAAUGGAAGUCCAUAUGUUUCCAUUUUAAAGCUGAUUUUCACUUGAAAUAACCCAUAAUUACAUAGAUCAACCUGUGUUGUCACCAGUAUCGACUGAUUGAAAUCUGGUUGGUUCUGGUAGCCUUUUAAUUAUUUGUAUGUAACUUGUCUUGAAGUAAGCCAGGGAAAGAAAAGCCAAGCUGAAAGUGAAAUGCUAUGUCCCCUACUAUUUAAUAGCUUUUUCUCUUGAUUUAUAAUAAUGAUCUUUGUCUGCUGAUCCCACUGAGAAGUUGGUUCCAUAUCCAUGGGUUCUGUGUCCAUGAAUUAAAUCAGCUAUAUAUCUAUAAAACUACUUAAUUUAGAAGGUUCCAAAGAAGUAUGAUAGGAAUCAGUAAGAAUAGGACACUAAAUAUGUAUAUUACACAUGUGCGCGCAUGCCCACACACACACACACACACACAUUUUUUUUUUGUGUGUGUGUGUGUGUGACACCAAAUAUAUUCUUCCACACUAGUGAUGCAGUUCUCCAACCAGGUGUUUAGCAGUGCAGUUCUGACACUGUCCUGGAGUUGGCACAGAUGCUAAUUUCAGGUUCAGUAGUUCAUGAGAAUGACUCAGGAAAGUGUUAAUUAUCGUUAACCUGUUUAUUAUGAAGGUACAAUUCAGGAAUAGCCAAAUAGAAGAAAUCCGUAGAACACAGUAUGUGUGGGUGCGGGCAUAUGAUUUUCCAUGUCCUCUGCAGGUAUCUGGAAGCUUGACAGAUCUCAUUAUUCUAGAGCUAUAAAUUGUAGACAUAAUUGAUUAAAUCAUUGGCCAUUGAUUAUUGGACUUGAUAGCCAAUUUCACUGCCUUGGAAAUGGGUUGGGUUGGGUUGGGAAGGGCUGAAUAUUCCAAUCCUCAGAUUUGGUCUUUCUAGUGACUCAGAUCCACCAUGGGUUCACCACAUUAGUAUAAACUCAGGUAUGGUUGAAACAAGCUUGUUGUGAAUAAGAAAAGACACAGUGAUGUAGGAAAUUUUUUUUUCUUUUUUUUUGGUCAGGAGUGGGAAUCAAUCCAAGACUAGGCACAUGCUGGGCACAUACUAUACCACUGAACUACACCCCCAGCUUCCUGUUUUUAUUAUAUCACUGAUAACUUUUGAAAUUUUAUAAAACUAGGGAAAACACCUCCAAAAGUCUCCAUUUGAAGAUACCAACAUUCUGGUAUAUGAUUCUUAUAUCUUGGAUAUUAUUAAUGACAAGUAUUUAGUAUUACAGUCACGAACAUACUUGUAGAUUUUGGGCCAAGUAUUGAGCUGCUAAUUAAUAUUUGAUAUUUCAUUAAAUUAAUAACUUUCACUAAAAUGAAAGCCAUUAUUAAUGGCACCUGGUGGAAUUUAGCUAAAUAAUGGCUCUCGUGCAUCAUUUAUUUUGGUAAAUUAAGCAUUUCAGGGCUUUAUAUUUUGAGUUCAUUCAAGAGCACAUCAUUAAGUGGCUUUGCUUUAAUCUAACCAUGAUCUGAAUCAGGUGUCAGAAAAUGCUAGAAAAUGUUCAGUCAUUAUUCAUCAAGAUCUUUCUCUCCCACUAGAAUUGACCUUGCUGUUCUCUUGGGGAAGACACCAUCUUCAAUGGAGAAUGAUUCAUCUAAUCUGGAUCCAUCUCAGGCUCCUUCUCUGGCCCAGCCUCUGGUGUUCAGUAAUUCGAAGCAGAGUGCCAUAUCACAGCCUGCUUCAGGGAACACAUUUUCUCAUCAUAGUAUGGUAAGUUUGAUUUAUCUUGAUCAAACCUUCCCACCAAUUCUACCAUGCUUACCCAGACAUUCCUUCUCCCAAAGGCUAAAAUUUUAAGAAUUCAGCUUUAAGGUCUUACUUGGAUUUAUUGUAUUUAUUUGUAGUACUGGGGAGGAGGAUCCAGGGGCACUUUAUACUGAGCUUCCCCAGCCCUUUUUAUUUUUAAUUUGGAGGCAGGGUCUCACUAAGUUGCUGAGUUUGGCUUUGAACUUGUGAUCUUCCAGACAUUGCCUCCCAAGACACUGGGAUACAGAGAGGCACAAAUGUAUUCUGCAAGAGGUUGAUUUUAUAGACAGAGAAGGGCUGAAAAAACAGAAAUAGGAUAAAAAGUCAUUUCAAAAUUACUUUCUUUGUGAGAUAAGACAGGGAGACAGAAAAAUAGAAAAAUAACCAAUUGGUUAGCAUCAGGUUACAUUUUUUGUGUGUGGAUUAAGACCGAGAAACUUUUAUUACUCACCUAUUUGAAAUUCAGCUGUUGGAACCAGCCUGUUUGGGAAAUUUAGCUGUUUUCUCUCCUAAUUUUUCAGAAAGUCAAGAAACAAUGUAAUUUCAGUUGGAGUUGGAACUUUUAUAUGUGUGACUCUUGAUUUUUUAGUCUGAUUGGUUAGAGUCUAGUGUAGAUUAGUCUAAAGCGGUGGUCUUCUGUGUUUAAGUUUCAAAGACAGGAUUUGUAACAAGGUUAGGCAUCCUCUUUGUUCUUUUAAGCAUCUUUGAGUGUGCAGAUGUUGAGUUGGGUACUAGAGGAUAGCUCUAGAACAAGCCUUAGCUUAUAACAAACUGAGUCAUCUUAAAAAUGAGUUAACAUAAUUUAUUGAAUACACAAUCGUGCUGAACAGUUUCUUAUUACUCCUGAAUAGAGAAAAUCAAUGGCAUCAACUUAAUAAAUUUUGACUCUUUCAGGCUGAGGCCGUGGCUUAGUGGUAGAGUGCUUGCCUUGUAUGUGUGAGGCACUGAGUUCCAUCCUCAGCACCACAUUAAAAUAAUUUUUUGACACUUUCACAAUCCUGAUUAAACUUUGGUGAGAGAUUGUAGUAGUUCCCCAUAUCUCUCUCUUUUUUUUUUUUUGUACCAGGGAUUUAAGUCAGGGGCACUCAACCACUGAGUCACAUCCCCAACCAUUUUCGUGUUUUAGAGACAGGGUCUCACUGAAUUGCUAAGUGCCUCACUAAGUUGCUAAGGCUAGCUUUGAAUUCUCGAUACGCCUUCCUCAGCCUCCUGAGCUGCUGGGAUUCCAGGUGCACGCCAUUCCCCACUUUUUGAUGAAGUAAAAUUAAAAUCGCCUUAUGUGGGGUUUUUUUUUUUUUUUUGAGAAUUUUUUUUUUAUAUUUAUUUUUUUAGUUUUCGGCGGACACAACGUCUUUAUUUGUAUGUGGUGCUGAGGAUCGAACCCAGCGCCGCGCGAAUGCCAGGCGAGCGCGCUACCGCUUGAGCCACAUCCCCAGCCCCCCCUUAUGUGUUUUUAUUUUAUUUUUUUUUUUAUUUAUUUAUUUUUUUUAUUUUUAUUUUUUUUUUUUUUUUAAAGAGAGAGUGAGAGGGAGAGAGAGAAUUUUUAAUAUUUAUUUUUUAGUUCUCGGCGGACACAGCAUCUUUGUUGGUAUGUGGUGCUGAGGAUCGAACCCGGGCCGCACGCAUGCCAGGCGAGCGCGCUACCGCUUGAGCCACAUCCCCAGCCACCCUUAUGUGUUUUUAUAAACCAUACAUUUGUAUAUUAGGUUUCUAAAAUCUAGGGUUUUUCCAUAUCACAACUUGUUAGCUGUGUUUCCCCUUGUCUGAAAAUGGGAAUAAGAGUGCUUGUUCUUCCUGUCUUGGGGGGGCCUCAGGAAGAUAAUUAAACUAAUUGAUACCAAUUAUACAAAUGUGGCAAUGGUAGUGGCAUUUUAAAUAACCUAUCAUGCAUAGUACACACAACUUCUUGAUUUACAACAUUUAAAAAAAUAAAGGAAGCCAGAUACAGUUGUGCAUGCUUGUAAUCCCAGGGACUUGGGAGGCUGAGGCAAGAGGAUCACGAGUUCAAAGCUAGCCUCAGCAAAAAGUGAGGCGUUGAACAACUCAGUGAGACCUUGUGUCUAAAUAAAAUACAAAAUCAGGCUGGAGAUGGCUUAGUGGUUGCAUGCCCCUGAGUUCAAUCUCUGGGACAUAAAUAAAUACGUAAGUAAAGGAGGGCUGGGGAAAUAGCUCAGUUGGAGAGUGCUUGCCUCAUAUGCACAAGGCCCUGGGUUCGAUCCUUAGAGCCACAAAAUAUUAUUUUAUUUAUUAUAAUUUAAACAAAGAUAAUUACAAGAACCAAUUAUAGUCAAUAAAUCCUGUUACUCCUUUUUUUAAAAAAAUUUUUUUGUAGUUGGAGAUAGCAUGCUUUUAUUUUAUUGUCAUUUUUAUGUGGUGCUAAGAAUUGAACCCAUUGCCUCACACAUGCUAGGCAGGUGCUCUGCCACUGGGCUACAGCCUCAGCUCCCUAAUUUACUCCUUUUUUUUUCCCUUUCUUUGUUUUUUUGGUGGAGGGUUACUAAGAGUUAUGAGAGGUAAGCAGACCUUUUAUGUGAAGAUAAUUUUAUUUUUCCAGUUUUAUUAAUUAUUUUAAUUUAGAAAACUGUUGAGGUAGCUACUAAUCCAGAACUGUCUCAGUUUUUAACUAUUGUCCUUGAAGUUUUUUUGUUUUAAAAUUUUUUCUUUUGUGUUAAUUCAGAAGUGGAGGUGGUUGUUUUGCCACAAAGGUAACAGGUGAGGAAAAUAUUGGGGUUGGAAAGAAAAUAGAAUGCUGGUGGUAAGGUGUGAUGAAAAUCAGGAAGUGUUACAAAUCCCUAAAAUACAUGACUAGAUCCGUGGUCAAGUGAUGUAUGCCUCUUUUAACUGCCCUCUUAAUGUUUGGAAUUGUGAAUAUGCACGAAAAAAUCAAAAUUUUAAUAUUUUAAAUAUUUUAAAAUUCAUUGUGUCAUAUUCUAUGCAUAGGAUUUCUGUAAAAACUUAUAAAAUUUUAUAGGACACCUACAAAAUUGCCCAAUUUAAGUGGAGGUUUUGUUGUUGAUGCUAGUCCCCCCCCAAAAAAAAUAUUGGAAAUUGAACCUAGGGGUGCUCAGACAUUGAGUUCAUCCCAACCCUUUUUAUAUUUUUUAUUUUGAGACAGGGUCUCACUAAGUUGCUGAGGCUAGCUUUGAACUUGCGGUCCUCCUGCCUCAGUCUCCAGAGUCACUGGGAUUAUAGGUGUGUACUACCAUGCCUGGCUUCAAUAUAAUUUUUUUAAAAUUUUUUUAAUAUUUGCUUUUUGUAGUUGUAGUUGGACACAGUACUUUAUUUAUUUGUUUUUAUGUGGUGCUGAGGAUCGAACCCAGGGCCUUGCACUUGUGAGGCGAGCACUCUACCACUAAGCCACAACCCCAGCCCUCAAUAUUUAAAUUUUUAUAGGAAUAUCAAAAAGAUGUUUUUAGUAAACUUCCAUGUUUCCUUAACAUUCUAUUUAAUGUGUGCCGAUAGGUGAACUAAAUAUAAAUAGUAUUUUGUUAUUCUCAUUACCUUUAUUUAAUCAAUAUUAUUUAAUGUAACUUUUUUCAUUGAGCAUAAUAUUAGAGAAUUGAUUUCCUUUAAUAUUUAUUAGAUCUAGAUAAAGGAGUUUGUAUUAUGUAUAAAAUACAAUGGACAUUAUGUAAUUUUUCUGUCUUUAAUUUUUUGUGCUUGGCAGAAUAUUUUAGUUGCAUUAGAUCAUCUGUGUCACAGUCCCUCACUUUAAACUAGACUUCUCAGAUUAUUUUGUUUUGGUAAUGGGGAUUGAACCCAGGGACGCUUAAAACCAGUGAGCCACAUCCCCAGCCCUCCCCCAAGCCCCCCCUUUUUAAACAAGGUUUUGUUAAGUUGCUUGGGGCAUCAACCUCCUGCGAUACUGAGAUUAUAAGUGUGUGCCAUUGUGCUUGGCUCAAGUUUUUGUUUGAAUAAUCUUGGGAUAUAGCUCAAAGUGGGAAGGAAAAAACCUUACCUUGAGUUGAAUAGACAGGUGUUCUAUAAGAAAGCAUUGCUGAUGAUGACAUGCUACAUUUAAACAAGUACCUGAGUAGGACAAGAUUAAUUCUCCUUGAAGUUUUUUGUUUGUUUAUAUGUUUGUUUUUUGAGGCUAGUCAAGGUCAUGAGGUUGAUCUUUGGACUUGGCUGAUAGUUUUCCUUGGUAAUGGGGAACAGAGAAAUCCCCAAAAGUGUUAGAGUAAAAUUUUGCUUAGUUAUCAUGCAGUGAUUCUAUAAAAAUAAUCAAGCCAUUGAGUUGUCAAUUUUAUCUAGUGCAGAAGUUGGGAUGGCCCUUUAAUUUCUCUUUGCCUAUAAGCUAGUUAUGAGCAGCAUUCAGUUUUUUGUUUCUUUUGGAUUGUUUAGUGGUAGGGGCAAGGAUAUAAUGACAAAAGUAAAAUUUUAUGUCACUUUUGUAUUAAUUUAAUAAUCAAGUAUUAAUUUAUGUAAAAAUCUUGAAGGGGGGGAACUCUCCAGUUAUCAAGGCAUUAUCCCUAAGAUGGAGAAAGUGAUGGUGAUUAUAAGUUUUUAAGGGCUAUCAUCUUUUAAAAAUUUAGAUUUGUUGAAUUAAUAUAUAAAAAAAUAAAAUUAUGCAUAUUAGUGGGGGUUUUAAUAUGUAUUGCUCUAGUUUUCUUGAGCCCUGUGUUCCAUGUACAUGUUAAGUACAGAUAUAUUAUUUGUUAAAUCCUGAUUAAACUUUAUGAAGUGUACUACUACUAUUUAUAUUUUCAGAUGAGGAAACUGAGGCAAAGAGACUUUAAAAUAAAUUUUCUGUGGUUGCAUACCCAGAAUUCGAAUCGGAUUGUCUGACUCUGAAUCUUAAACUCAAUGGACUAUGCUAUAUACUCAGUCUUAUAGCAUUCUGUUUUGAAAUGGGGUGUCAGAGUGUUGCCCAGGUUUUUCUUGAAUUCCUGAAUCUGUGAUCCUCCCAAGUAGCUGGGACUGUAGACAUGUGCCAUGGGCCCGGCUUAGUAGCAUUCUUCAUUUGUUUGAUUCAUACUAGCUUUCAAACUGGAUAAGUGUCUUUCUUUAGCAGACAAGUUCCAGGCUGUAAAUCUCUCUGUUGAUCUCCAGGUGAGCAUGUUAGGAAAAGGAUUUGGUGAUGUCGGUGAAGCUAAAGGUGGCAGUACUACAGGCUCUCAGUUCUUGGAGCAGUUCAAGACUGCUCAGGCCCUGGCUCAGCUGGCAGCUCAGCAUUCUCAAUCUGGAAGCACCACCACCUCCUCUUGGGACAUGGCCUCAACGACACAGUCCCCAUCACUGGUGCAGUAUGGUAAGAAGAUGUGAAGUGACUUGAAUCCCUUAUGUGUUGGACUAUUACUGUGAAGAAGCUGGUGAGGGGAGUGGAAAAUGUAUCCCGAUGAGAGGGGUAGCUCUCUCUGGUUUUGUCAAAGAGUCUGAGUUCAGAAAGUUGGGAAAUAAUAAAAAUUUGAAGCUAUGUGUCUCUGUCAUUAAAUUUUUUUGUUUGCAUAGGAUUUUUUUAAAUUACUUUUAAGUUUAUGUGUUUGAGAAUGUGUUGCCUUUGGGCUCAUGGAGUUGGCCAUUUAAGACCUUAUACUUUAAAUUCGAGCAAUUCAUGGAUUCCUGUUUUGCACAGGCAUAGUAAUAGUAUUGAUUUGAUUAGGCUAUUUUUAAGAAUGGAUAAGAUCAGUGAUUGUUGCCUAUAGAAAUGAAAUGAGAUUCAUUCCUAAAAGAAAACCUGUCUAUAUGAGUUUCUGGUCUUUGAGGGUCUGGUUCAUGGCAUUAGUGCAAGACAGUAGCCUUUCCUUGAAAUGUAUUGGAACCUUGAACCUCACACCUGUUGGGUUUCCUUUUGCAGAUUUAAAGAACCCAAAUGAUUCUACAGUACACAGCCCCUUUACAAAGCGCCAGGCUUUCACCCCAUCUUCAACCAUGAUGGAGGUGUUCCUUCAGGAGAAGCCACCUGCAGUGGCCACCUCCACCGCUGCACCUCCACCCCCCUCUUCUCCUCUGCCAAGUAAAUCCACCUCGGCUCCACAGAUGUCUCCUGGGUCUUCAGACAACCAAUCCUCCAGCCCUCAGCCAGCUCAGCAGAAACUGAAACAGCAAAAGAAAAAAGCCUCACUGACUUCUAAGGUAUUUGAACUUUUUAGGUAGCUGUUACUGCAAGGAAGUAUUGGAUUUGUAAAUUAGGUUGAUAUGGGUUAACUUUGGAAAUUUGAAAUCAAAGGGAAUAUUUACUAACAUUUCCAUAGUAAGAUUGUAUUGAACCAUUGUAUUUUCUUCUCCUUUACCCUUUUUUAUAGAUUCCUGCUCUGGCUGUGGAGAUGCCUGGCUCAGCAGAUAUCUCAGGGCUAAAUCUGCAGUUUGGGGCAUUGCAGUUUGGGUCAGAGCCUGUCCUUUCUGAUUAUGAGUCCACCCCCACCACGAGCGCCUCUUCAAGCCAGGCUCCAAGUAGCCUAUAUACCAGCACGGCCAGGUAGUAUAAACAUUAGUCUUUUGCUAAUUGUUCUAAAUCUCUUGCUGAGACACUGUUCUUUUAACUGGCUGGGAGAAAAGUAAUGAAUUACAGCAUUUUGUUGAAUACUUUAAAAUGGCGUUAUUAGGGCUGGGCUCAGUGGCAUAUGCCUAUAAUCCCAGAAACUUGGGAGGCUGAGGAAGGAGAAUUGCAAAUUCGUGGGCAGCUUCAACAAUUUAAUGAGGCCCUUAGCAACUUAGCAAGAUCCUAUUUCAAAAUAAAUUAUGAAAUAAAAGAGCUGGGGAUUAAUGGUAAAGUGCUUCUGUGUUUAAUCCCAACUACAAAAAUAACAACAAACAUUUUCACUAGGAUUAUCUGUAACUUUAAGCACAUGGAAACCUGGGAUGGUGGUGCACACCUGUAAUCCCAGCAGUUUGGGAGACUGAGGCAGGAGGAUUGCAAGUUCAAAGCCAGCCUCAACAACUUAGUGAGGCCCUAAGCAACUCUGCGAGAUCUUGCCUAUAAAUGAAAUAAAGGCAUAUUAAAAAAAGGCUGGGGAUGGGUUUUAGUUGUUAAGUGCCCCUGGAUUCAAUCCCUGGUAUAAAAAACAAAAACAGGAAAAUAAUGGUGCUUGGGUACUUGAAGAAUGUUGCUCAUUUUUUGAAAGACAGAACAGGACCUCUAACAUUUAAAGUACCUGGACCUAUAUCACAGCUGAAAGUGCUUUUGGCAUUCCUUUUUAGCCCUUUGGUGUGAGAUUAUGCCUGUGAAGUGUAAAACUUUGAACUCCUAGAAAGGAGAGAAUUGUAAGGAACCUUAAAAGGAACCUUUUAUACCUCCUCUGCUCAACAUCAAGUAAGGUUGUCUUUAGCAAUAGAAAGUCCUGAGGAAUUUCAGGGAGUAGAUUUUUUUAUAUUUGGAAUUUAAAAAUACAAGUAUCUGGCCCUAAUUUAGGUCUGUGGGGUCAUAAUUGCCAAUUAAUACAUGCAAAUGUUUUUAAAAAUUCUUCUCAAAGAAUUGUACCAGUGAUCUUAAAUUUAAUAAAAUCAUUGGAGUCUAAAGCUCAAAAUUCCUUAAAAUGAGUUUGAGCUAAAACAAAGUCUUCCUGUGCUGAGGGCUCACAUUGUGAUUUAUAGAAGGGACCAAGAGUACUAUAUCCUUUCCACUGACCUUUGAUUUCUUUUUCUUAAAACAUAAAAUGUGAGGGAAGGAAGAGGCUUUUCUCUGCUUCAAUUUGAAGAUGUUUCUAAGCUUUAUGCUUAAUUCAAAUCCCUGGCACAUUAGAAUGUGGGAUCUACUGUUGUCAGGAGAAAAUUGUGGUAGUGUUUUUGUUGUUGGAAAUUUUCUUUUGAUGUUAGUUUAUUCCACUCUUAGGUCUCUGCCAUUUCCUUAGUAUCUGUUCUCUUUCCUUUCACUGAGAUUUUUCCUCUUUUCAUUUCCCACAGUGAAUCUUCAUCUACAAUUUCAUCUAACCAGAGUCAGGAGUCUGGUUAUCAGAGUGGCCCAAUUCAGUCGACAACCUAUACCUCCCAAAAUAAUGCUCAGGCCCCUCUAUAUGAGCAAAGAUCCACCCAGACUCGGCGGUACCCCAGUUCCAUCUCUUCAUCACCCCAAAAGGACCUGACUCAGGCAAAGGUAGUAGCCGCAUGAGCCCCUGGAUAGAGGUUAGAGAAACAGUGGGCAAAAGUCUCUUAAGUAUUAAAUAUUAGCAUUUUACUUCUCAGAAAGUGGUGCCAAGAAAUCUUGGAAGUGCUGAUUGAGAAGCUGCAAACACAUUUCUGUGAUUGGUAAAAUAAAAGUUUUCAGCAAUCCUGGAGACUCAGUCAGAAAACCAUUUUCUUUGCAGUAAAGAUUGUCUCUAGUAGAAUCAAAUAUCUGUCCUUUCUUGGAACAUCUAAUUGCUAGAUUUUUGGGUACAUAUCAGUAGAUCUUACUUUGCUUUUUCUUGGCUUUGUGAGAAGGACAGCAUAUGCUAGAGGUGGUAUUGAGUGACUGUCUUGUGCAGCCAGCAGGAUAAAUGGUUUGGCUGAACUGUCAUUCCCACAUCCUCCCACAAAGAUCAUUGGGUUUGGACUUUGGGCCUUUUAUGUACCUGUUUUGGGGUUGGGGUAUCUUCACCUGUUUGGGGGUUGUCUUCUGUUGCUGUUAGCCACACAGGCUUAGUAUAUCUGGUUUUUAUUGUUUUUAAUUUUUGUUUUGUUUGUUUGUGUAGUCUUGUAUUAAUCCUUUAGUUAACUAGCAGAAUUUCUCCCAAAUGUUUGUUAACUAGAAUUAAGCUGAGUUAGUAUUAAACUUCCCCCAUUCACAUGAGUUUGUCUGUUCUUGCUCCUCUGUUUUCUUGCUCCAGAAUGGCUUCAGUUCUGUGCAGGGCACGCAGUUACAGACCACGCAAUCUGUUGAAGGUGAGUAUUCUCCAGGCUUUUUAUUCUCAGUUGUUUUUUUCUUUCUCUUAAUAUUUUUGUAUUUCUUAAAAGUGAAAAGAGCUCUGGCACGAGGACUGGUUAGUCUUAAUUCUACUUUGCUGCUUAAUCUCCAGCCUUCCUAAGUUUCAGGUUCUCUGUCUUAAAAUGGUAACCAUUUUAUUGGUUCCCGUCACUGGACAAAUGAAAUUCACAUGCAAAGUGCCUAGAAUUAAAAAAGAUUAUACCAUUAUUAAAUAACUCAUACUGUUGUCUUUGGGGCAGCAUAGGACUGUAGUGAUUCUUCACGUUAGACAUUUUCUUUUCUUCUGGUGAGAUGGAUUCUUUUAUUUCUAGGUGCUACAGGCUCUGCAGUGAAAUCUGACUCACCUUCCACUUCUAGCAUCCCCCCUCUCAAUGAAACGGUAUCUGCAGCUUCCUUACUGACAACAACCAAUCAGCACUCAUCCUCCUUGGGUGGCUUGAGCCACAGUGAGGAAAUUCCAAAUACCACCACCACGCAACACAGCAGGUGAUUUGGGGUGAGGAUGGAGUUUGGGGUGAGGAUGGAGCUCUCUGGUUCUUUUUCUUUCUAACUGGCAAAGACCACAUUAGCCCCACUUUUGGGUAAAUGGGUGACCUGAAAACUGUGAGAGAUAAAGACAAAGAGACUUAUUUUAUUUUUUCCUUUCAGCAUCUACUUUUGUUUUAACUGUUGCUUACUAUCCCUGGCUGGCUCUUGUGCUUAUUACCAUUUUCUCAAGACUUUCUUGUUCCUAUGUUCUACCUUAUUUUCUUGCUUGUGUUCUUGAUUAAAGCUCCAGGCCAGGUGGCCAUAGCACUGUUGUUGAUGGCACCCUCUUUCCUUACAGCACGUUAUCUACACAGCAGAAUACCCUUUCAUCAUCAACAUCUUCUGGACGCACUUCGACAUCCACUCUUUUGGUAAGUAUGAUGCUGAAAGGAAGUGUGGUUCUUAAGCUUUUCUUAAACUAGCCAACCCUAAGAUUCUGCCAAGAGGGAAUUCUUGAUCAUUUCUUCAUGAGAUGAUAAAACUCAUUGAAUUGAGGUUGCAGAGAAACGAAUAAGGGGUUGUUGGGAAGCCAAAAGAAGCCAAAGAAUCCAGAAAUAAUGCAGAGCUAUGAAUCAUUCCUUAAAGCCUGGAAGGGACACCCUCCAUCCCCCAUUCCUGUGUUGAAGAUAAGGUAUAUGUUACAAAAGAACAUACCUUUCUAGGGGCUAGUGGUAUAGCUCAGUGGUACUGUAUGGGUUAGUGUGCAUGAAGCCCUUGGUUUAAUCCCCAGCACCAAAAAAAAGGAGAGUGGGGUGGAAAGAAAAGGACAAAUCUUGCUAACUGGUAGAGCUUGUGUUUCUCUUUCCUUAAAACACAACAUCAAGUUUAAAGUCAGCUGUAUGUUAUUCUAGCCCAUGAACUAGAGAAGAAAAGUGUGUGAGAGAAGGCUAUGAUACAUUUUUCAGAUUUCAACUUUAUUUGACAGGUCAACCAGUGUUGGUCUCCACCAACACUGGAGUUGUCACCACCCACUUUGCUGUCUUUCUUAACAGGAUGAUGGUAUAUGAGUCUGUAUUAAUAACCAUCCUUGUCACAUGAGUCUUUAGAAACAUGCAGCUAGAGAGUUUUUGUACCUUGGUAGAGGAGACUCUGUUAUUAUGCCCUGACCUUUUUAAUUGGGAAGUUGUUGUGAUGAUCAUAUUCAAGAGAAUAGAUUGUUUAUCAUUCCUAACCUAUAUUGCUAAUUGGUGCUUCCUUCAUCUCUCUUCCAUUGCUCCUCCCUUUUGAAGCACACAAGUGUGGAGAGUGAGGCGAAUCUCCAUUCUUCCUCCAGCACUUUCUCUACCACGUCCAGCACAGUCUCUGCACCUCCCCCAGUGGUCAGUGUCUCUUCCAGUCUCAACAGUGGCAGCAGUCUGGGCCUUAGCCUAGGCAGCAACUCCACUGUCACAGCCUCAACUCGAAGCUCGGUUGCUACAACUUCAGGUACCUUUGCAUUAGCUGCAUGGCAUUCCUCUAGGAUGGAGGGAAUCAAUAAUUGUGUGAUAGCAUAAAAAUGUUUUUUCUCUUUUAGGAAAAGCUCCUCCCAACCUUCCUCCUGGGGUCCCGCCAUUGUUGCCUAAUCCAUAUAUUAUGGCUCCAGGGCUGUUACAUGCCUACCCAGUAAGUAGGAUUGAAGGGUUUGUUCUAAAAGGUGGUGUUGGUGGGACUAUUCUUUAUAGUUCUGGCUUCAGGCAGUAGACUGUAAUUACAAUACAGAAAAAAAUGCCACAUAUAAACAAAUAGGUUUCUUGGGUGGGGGUGAGUAGUAGGGAUUGGACUUGGGAGCAACCAACCACUGAGCCACAUCCCCAGCCCUAUUUUUUUUUUAAUAUUUAUUUUUUAGUUGCAUUUGGACACAGUACCUUUUAUUUUAUUUAUUUAUUUUCAUGUGGUGCCAAGGAUCGAACCCCAGGGCCUCACACGUACUCACCACUGAGCCACAACCCCAGCCCUAUUUUUUAUUUUAUUUAGAGACAGGUCUCACUGAGUUGCUUAGUGCCUGGCAUUUCUGAGGCUUGCUUUGAACUUGGGAUCCUCCUAUCUCAGCCUCCUGAGCUGCUGCGAUUACAGGCAUGCGCCAUUGCACCUAGCACAAGUAGGUUUUGAAUCUUUGUAGCUUUGGAAAAAACAAUCAUUUUUAGAGAGGAAAGACUAAACUUGGGCAAGACCCUCUAUUGUGUAUUUGCUCUGUGUGAAAUAGAAAUUCUAGGCCUCAGAUGCCAAAGGCUAAAACGUUCAUCUGGAAUUCCUUUCAGUUUCUUGGAGAAUUGUUUUUUGUAGAUGAACUGAUUUCCUUACUCUGGGGAUCUUUGCUGCCUCUAACCUGGUCAGAAGAGAGUUCCCCAGCUCACUGUGGAAUUGUCUUGAGAAUAAAUGGCUGACAUUGUUGACUUUUUUUCUCAGGUAUAUCUUCUGUUACCUCCAGGUAUUCAGUACCUCUUAAGAUGGAGGGUAUGAAAAUUCUAUUAAAAGACAACUGUACUUCCCCUGAAAGUGGAAGUCUAGAUAAACAUCAUACAGACAAGAUUGUCCAAAUAACACUGUUGGACAUUGUUUAACAACACUGCUUUAUCUUGAAAUUGGGAGAAAACAAGAGUAAAAUCUGAAUCUUUCAUGGAGAAAAUAAAUUUUAAACCAGAUGUAUAGAUUAGAGAGUAAAGGCAGGAAGAUUCCAUUCAUAGAAUAGAGAGAACAGAUAGCUGUUCAUAUACUUGUGUCUAUUGUACUGCUUCCCAGAAAUGGUCUAGAUCAAUCAGUAGUAAGUAGCUCAACGAAAGUUUCAAGAUCUUUCAUUAAUCCUUUAAUCUCUACUUUUACUUUCCCUUUAAGUAAAUUGAAGGAAAUAAAUCUUUUUUUUUUUUCCUUUUGGUAGUAUUGGGGAUUGAGCCCAGGGCCUUGUUCGUGCUAAGGAAGCACUGAACUACAUCCCUAGCCCAAGGAAAUAAUCUAUGUCCUGUUCAAAGAAGGACGGUGAAUAAUGUAUUGAAUUAUCUUGCUUUUUAGCUCCUUGGGUUUUUUGUUUUUAAUCAUUUAUGACCAUUUCUCAUUAAUGUCACAUGCCUUUGUCUUUCAGCCACAAAUGUAUGGUUAUGAUGACUUGCAGAUGCUUCAGACAAGAUUUCCAUUGGUAAGUAUGUGGAAGGGAACUCUGGUAAAGGAGGUGAUCUAAAAAUUAGUUUUGUUUUUUUUUUUUGGUGCUUGGGAUCAAACCUAGGUUCUCACAUAUGCUAAAGCACAUGCUAUUACUGAGCUACACCCCCAGCCCAAGUGGACUACUACAACUAUACAUUUUCUACCAAUGUCAUAUCUUGUUUUUUAAUAUUUUGUGUCAUUAGAGAUUCAACUCAGGAGCUAGUGCACGCCAGGCAAGCACUUUACCAUUUAGGUAUACCCCACUCCCCAGAGAUGUGAAAUCUUUGAAGUAAACAGAUUUUAACCUACUCUGUAGCCUAAUAAAGUACUCAGGAGCUCUCAAGAUGCUUUCAAGAUGCUUUCUAUAUGUCUCAAACACUUAAAAUUACAGAAAAAAAAAUAUGUUUUUCAAGAUAAGUUUGGCAUAUGCUUUUAGAGAUGAUGUGUGGAGGUUGAAAAUAUUAUUGGUCCUGAUGGAACUUUAGCAGGCAUAUCCGUAGACCUUGCCUGGCUCUGCUUAUGGCCAGGCAGGGGGGACAGUAUAUGCAAGAAUAAUAUGGAGUUUAUGCAAACUCAAACCAGCUUCUUCGGUAGCUGGGUAAAUCGCAGUACUCCCGACAUUUUUGUGCUUCUCACCUGUGGUUUUCAUGCUGGAGAAUGAAUAGCAUUGAGUCUGUGCUCUUUUGUUACUCGGUUCUAGGAUUACUACAGCAUCCCGUUUCCCACGCCCACCACUCCGUUGACCGGGAGGGAUGGUAGCCUGGCCAGCAACCCUUAUUCUGGUAUGACUGGGACGGGGCCAAAUAAAGGGAGAGGGAGAUUGUAUUGGGAUGAAUGGCAAAACCCUGCUUAAUAGCAAGAAAGGACCUGGUUCUCACCUUACAUGUCUCUGGUAGAAGUUUAAAAUGGACGUGAUGAAUUGGUUGGUAGAUUCACAGUCCUGUUAAAGAUGAGCGUUUGGCAGCUUUUUUCCCUUUCCAUCUCACUUGUCUGUGAUUUCUAAAUCCUUCUCUCUCUCUCUCUCACACACACACACACACAUCUUACCUAAAAACAUUUUUUUCCCCUUUGGUUCUGGGGAUUGAACCUAGGGUCUCACAUCUAUACUAAGCCUGUGCUCCAUCUUCUGCCCCUCCAGAUGACAUUAUAACUUAGGUUUUUCAGCUUGUUCCAGAAAGUAGUGGUUGAACUGGUCUUCUCUGCUUCUGUACAUUGCUCACAGUGGCAGUCUCAUUGUCUUGCUAGACCUUCUUUUUUGGCCUGACUUUCUUGGCAUCCUCCUUGAUCAUUUUUUCUUAUCUGUCUCUGUCCCUUCAAGUGUAGCAUGGAGUGUUUCCCAUGGAAGAAAAUAGGGGCUGGGAGUGAAAGAAUACAAGAAGGUAGAGAAAUAAUGUAGGAACUUUUUCCUGGGAUCUUCUUUUUGCUAUAGCAAAUAUACUCAGCAAUAGUCUUUAACUGGCACUGUAGUCUAUACUCAACUAUAGUUUAUACUCAACAACAGUCUUAACUGGCACUAUGCUAAAUGUAUUCUGAGCAAUGCUGAAUGGAGCUUCAAAGAAAUAUAAUUUAAGGAAUUGAAUUUUAAAAGUCUUUGAACAGGAUCUCUUGGAAUCAUGUGAAACCAAGAGGUGACUUGUGUUGCAGUGAAAGAAACGGGUACAUUUAGCUUCUUCUGUCACAGGUGACCUCACAAAGUUCGGUCGUGGGGAUGCCUCCUCCCCAGCCCCGGCCACAACCUUGGCCCAACCCCAACAGAACCAGACGCAGACUCACCACACCACGCAGCAGACAUUCCUGAACCCGGCGCUGCCUCCUGGCUACAGUUACACCAGCCUGCCAUACUACACAGGGGUCCCGGGCCUCCCCAGCACCUUCCAGUAUGGGCCUGCUGUGUUCCCUGUGAGUGCCUAGCCUUGGUCUCCUUGUGGUGAAGGCUUCUAUCCCUGACACUAUCCUAGCUGUGCUUUCAAAGCUAGAUGAGUCUAGUAAUGAAUGAGGGAGGAACAGUUUCCACAUUGGGCUUUCUUCUGGCCUGGGAAGGGGGAGUGGGAUUGGAAUUGGUUGAAUUAUAAUAGGGAUUAACUUUUUCUAGAAUUAGCCAGAGGGGAAUGUGAUACCAUACAGCUUUGCUUUCCUCAGAUGGCCAUGUAUUCCCUGAUAGCACUCCCCCUUUUCCUUCCUUCAAAUUGUCUCUUGAUUUCAAAGGUAGAUUAUGGAAAUAUUAGUAAGGAUCUUAUUUCACUAUUCAAAUUAUGGCCAGCCUAAAUCAGGAUUCAUAGCCACCUGAACACCUGGGCCCUGGAGUAGGACAGGUGAAACUGAUGGUGCAUGCUGCCAUUUCACUGCAGUUCUGGCCCUUUUGCUCUUCAGGUGGCUCCUACCUCUUCCAAGCAGCAUGGUGUGAAUGUCAGUGUGAAUGCAUCAGCCACCCCUUUCCAACAGCCGAGUGGAUAUGGAUCUCAUGGAUACAAUACUGGUAAGCUCCCCGUGGCCCUGGUUCAGUGUCUCUGUGAGGUGUUACUGGGUUGGUGAGGGUGUUCUGCUCUCUACAUAUGAUUAUUGAUGCUUGGCUGAAUUGGAUAUCUGGGAGCAUCAUCAGCAGAGGCUCUUGACUCUAGGAAAUGCUGUUACUACACAUGAUUAGAAUGCUCAGGGGCAUUUUUGGCCGCUAAAAUAUGUUGUCUGGCCUAAACUUUGGGUUAAAAGGAGGACAGGGCCCUAAGAUUUUGCUGAGAUAUCAGUGGAGGCAAGUGUUGUGGCACUGUAUAAAAGAGGAUAUAUUCACUGAAAAGAAAGGAUAAAUGCUUUCAUAGCUAACAAUAUGAUUAAUAGGCUUGGCUUAAGUCUUUUUGUAGUACUAUUAUUAUUACUAUUCCCCUUUCAUUCCUAACUAGAAGACCUAAGAUAUGGAGAGAGAGGAUAGGCAUGACCACGCAGUAGAGACAGAAUUAGACUGGGAGGUUCCUUCGUUUGUAUGACUGGUCUUCUUAAAAAGCCUAUUUGCAUAUCUGAUGGCAGGGAGAGAAUUGUAGGAAUCCUCUGGAUAAGUAAUGACCUAAAAGAUACUUAGCUUAUCACUUAUUUCCAUAUCUGACAUCCAUGCUCCACUUUUGAAGGUGGAAGUGGAGGAGACAUUGAAUAAAACCGUUUCAUCUACAUUUUUCAGUGACUUACAGGCAUAUAUGAGGAGGAGCCUAUUGUAGUUGCUAGGGGUUGGGGUUGAGGAUUGUCUUUUCAAAGCUCAGUUAGUUUCAAGGUGAUUUGGAUGGAGCAACAUCUGUGUGGGCUCCAGAUGAGUAAAUUGCUCAACAUUUUAUUUAUUUAUUUUUUGGUACUGAGGAUUGAACCCAGAGACAUUUUACCACUGAGCUAUAUCCCCAGUCCUUUUUAUUUUUUGAGAUAGGGUCUCACUAAGUUGCUGAGACUGGCCUCAAACUUAGAAGCCUCCUGCUUCAGCCUCCUAAAUUGCUAGGAUUAGAGACAUGCAUCAAUGCACCCAGCUCAAAAUUUUCAGUAAUUGGGAAACUGUCUUAAGCUGAGCACAGAAGGUAAUAAAGACUAGUUUUAGGAAUUAAUAGCCAGGUGGAGCUUUGGACUGUGCCUUAUGACUUAAGAGUGGGUCAUAAUAAAUUUUAAAAAUCCUGAGAAAAGCCCCAUUAAGAUUUACUACCCAGGUUCUUUGGGGCCACUGCUGUCACUGAGUAAGGUCUUGUUGAUGAUGGGAGGAUUAUAAGCCUUUUGACUUGGCCCCAUUCCAGGAACAUUAAAAUUAAACUUCAGCUGGUCCAGGUAUGAGAAUUUUCAGAGGUAAGGUAGGUGGUUGAUAAUGUAAGACAGUUGGCAUAUCUGAUUCUGGAAAUCCUAGCUUCUUACCUCCCUUAAUAUUUCAGAAACCUGUUAGUUCUUUGAGAACCCCCAAUUCCCAACCCCACAGAGGGCUCUUGUCAUUCCAUUCCUCAUCAACCUCUAAAUUCAUGUAUUUUUAUGUAUUUGAUUCCUUUUAGGAAGAAAAUAUCCACCCCCUUACAAGCAUUUCUGGACGGCUGAGAGCUAAUUUGGCCCAAGGCUGGGGGCUGUGUUUUGUGUGUGUGUAUAAAUUUGCACUGAAGUCUUGUUUCAGAAACCAGACCACUGAGGAGAGCCUGCUGAGCUGAGGCCAUGGCCUGCGUGGCUUGGGGAAAUGAGUUGGUGGAUAUCUUCUGGGCUUUUGAACUUGCCCCCUCCCCAUUUCCCUCUCCCCCUUGUGUCUGACCCUGUCUUACCCAUUUCGAGUUCAAGCGGUGCAGCACCUCCGAAGCAUCAAUGCACACACCUGCUGUUGCUUUUGAUUUCUGGAAGGCAUGUAGUUUCAACUUGUAACAAAAAUAUUUGUAGUCUUCAAUAAACUGUGGUAUUUCUUUAGCUAACUCUGGCGUUCUUUCCGUGCAUGUCUUUCUGGACACUAGGA
rnacentral:lncRNA from 1 species